rnacentral:tRNA from 1 species
GGGCCGUUAGUUCAUCUGGUAGAAUACUUCAUUUGCAAUGAAGAGGUAGGGAGUUCGAGUCUCCCACGGUCCACCA